rnacentral:rRNA from 1 species
UUCAAAUUGAGAGUUUGAUCCUGGCUCAGGAUGAACGCUGGCGGCGUGCCUAAUACAUGCAAGUCGAACGCACAGCGAAAGGUGCUUGCACCUUUCAAGUGAGUGGCGAACGGGUGAGUAACACGUGGACAACCUGCCUCAAGGCUGGGGAUAACAUUUGGAAAC